rnacentral:lncRNA from 1 species
AGCUGGAGUUCCGGGUGGGCGUGGGCUUGGCGGGCCCUGCACUCGGAGCAGCUGGCCAGCCCUGCCAGUCCUGGGCAAUGAGGGGCUUAGCACCCGGGCCAAAGGCUGCGGAGGGUGUACUCGGUCCCCCAGCAGUGCCAGCCCGCUGGCACUGCGCUCGAUUUCUCGCCGGGCCUUAGCUGCCUCCCCGCGGGGCAGGGCUCGGGACCUGCAGCCUGCCAUGCCUGAGCCUCCCCGCGCUCUGUGGGCUCCUGUGCGGCCCGAGCCUCCCCGACGAGCACCGCCCCCUGCUCCACGGCGCCCAGUCCCAUCGACCACCCAAAGGCUGAGGAGUGCGGGCGCGCGGCACGGGACUGGCAGGCAGCUCCACCUGUAGCCCAGGUGCGGGAUCCACUGGAGACUGAGACACUGGAUUGGUGCCUGAAACUGGUACACACAGUGGGAGGAACGGAUGAGAGCAAGCAUGGACAACCACAUCCCUUGCCAAGCAAGCAUCAGAGCUAGAAUGGCUGGGCUAGUCCAAGGUGUGGUCAACCGCAGCAGAACUAGUUGAAAUGCAGGUGACUUGGAAGAAGAGAGAGAUGGAAAUCAUUAGCUACCACUCACCCUCAGUUGCCACCAUGAAGUCUUCCAGCCCAAUGCUGAUUUUACAGACAAAAUACUUAGCCUCCCUCCCUCCUUCUUACCCACCAACCAACCAAUGUGAGAAAAUCAAGAAAUAGAUGUUUUUGGAGUCCUGAGAGAAGAGAGAGGAAAUUCCUGCUUUAUAACAGUACCCCAGUAAAGAAACAAAACCGAGAAAGAAAGAAUUUACGAUAUGUCUAGACAGAGAUGCAGCCUUUCAAAUGAUCUCCCAGCCUGAAACGUGGCAACAAAGCAUCAGAGAGCUGCCAGGACUGAAGGAGCCAUGUUUCUGGGGACAUAGGAUGUCAUCGAUAAGCAAUGACAAGAUCACUGCUGCCACACACACAUGCACACCCAGGUAAGAUCCUGGGACUCUGGCAUAAGCUGGAGAGUUGGAGGAAACACCAGGAAGGAUAGAGUCUACCUAACUUCCAGCUUCAUUCCACUGCAACAGCAAAGAUGCAUAAAAUCCAAAAUAUAAUUGAGUUGUUUCAUAAAAAAUUAAGUUAUGUUUGUAAUCAUGCUCAAAUUCCACUUAAAAUGGGGAAUUUUGUUGCCUGAUAUAAAUAAUUUUGUUGCAACAUAACAUUAUGUAAGGAAAAUAAAAUGUAGCUCCUAAUCAUUAUUCAGUGAGGUAAUGGUAACUAUUAAAAGACAAAGACACCUCGUAAUUUGAAUUGCUUCCAGCUGAGCAGUCAUCAUCUGGACAUAUGCUAUCAAAUGAUACUCCUCCCACUGAGCCAUUAUGCAUUUAAUGCCUUUAUUUAUCUGCCAAAUUUCAAGACUGAAACAAAGGUUUUAAAAUUUAAAAAUGUGCUAUUAAACCAAAUGUAAGAUAAGCUAUCCUGCCUAAUCCAAUAAAAUACAGUAUUUCAUUAUGAUUAGUAUUAAUUUUCUGUAAUUUUGUAAAUUCCCAGGCAAAUAUAAUCUUCUAAGAUAGAAAAAAAGUCUUCAUACUGUAAGAAAUUGUGCAAUAAAAUUAUUAGCAAAUAAUUCCAUUUAUUGCUGAAAGGUAUAGGCUUUGGAGUUAGAUGGACCUGGAUUUACAUCCUGGUCCUAACACAUUUUUUUAUGACCCUGGGACAUGUAUUGGAUCUCAUUAGGCCUCAGUUACUCAUAUAUUAAAUGGUAAUGGAUAUAAUUUAUAAAGUUUAGAGGAAAUAAUAAAAUUGAGUACUCAUCAUAGUGCAUGAAAUAGAGUAAGCACGAAAAGAAGUGAUUAGUUAUGAAUAUUAUAAUGUACAGUGUGAAAAUAUGUAAUUCAAAAUCUAAGCAGUUGGAAUUUUUAAAUAUUUUGAGACUUAAGAGAGUGUGAUUAUGGGACCUGAAUCAUGUAAACUGGGAGCUGUAACCUUUUCUUCUCUGAUUAUAGAUUAGCCUUUUUCCUUACCUACAUUGUUUUCUAAAAUGGUGUAAAGGACUAACAGGCACCAGGGAGGACCCCUUCCCUCUUAAUUGUUGAUCUUCACUAUAGAUGAACUUCCUUCUUUCCUAUCCCAUACAAACACUGCGUGAUUAUCACAUUGCCUAAGAUGGAAUGUUAAAUACAGAAUUUUAAACUGGAAAAAAAGAAGGAAAGCUAUAAUUAAAUUGUUGUGUAAUUAAACCAGCCUUGUAUAGAAAAUGUUAUAAUCUUACUAAAUUUCUUUGUUUUCUGCCUAUAUAAGCAAGAUCUUAACUAACUUUAACUUUUGAGCAUUGACCCCAUUCCUUUGAAGUCUCUGUUACUUGAAUGGCCAUUUUUAGGUUUUUACUUAAAUAAAUUCUUUUGAACCAAA